GUGCUUGCUUCAGCAGCACAUGUACUAAAAUUGGAACAAUACAGAGAAGCUUAGCAUGGCCCCUGCGCAAGGAUGACACGCAAAUUUGUGAAGCGUUCCAUAUUUUU
rnacentral:snRNA from 1 species